GACGAACGCUGGCGGCAUGCCUAAUACAUGCAAGUCGAGCGAACAGAUGAAAUGCUUGCACUUCUGACGUUAGCGGCGAACGGGUGAGUAACACGUAAGGAACCUACCUAUAAGCGGGGGAUAACAUUCGGAAACGGGUGCUAAUACCGCAUAAUAUCUUCUUCCGCAUGGAAGAAGAUUGAAAGACGGCUCUGCUGUCACUUAUAGAUGACCUUGCGGUGCAUUAGUUAGUUGGUGGGGUAAUGGCCUACCAAGACGAUGAUGCAUAGCCGACCUGGGAGGGUGAUGCGCAACAUUGGGACUGAGAAACGGCCCAAACUCCUACGGGAGGCAGCAGUAGGGAAUCUUCCGCAAUGGGUGAAAGCCUGACGGAGCAAUGCCGCGUGAGUGAAGAAGGCCUUCGGGUCGUAAAACUCUGUUAUAAGAGAAGAACAAAUUGUUGAGUAACUGCUACAGUCUUGACGGUAUCUUAUCAGAAAGCCACGGCUAACUACGUGCCAGCCGCCGCCGUAA
rnacentral:rRNA from 1 species